rnacentral:rRNA from 1 species
GACGUAGGGCGCGAGCGUUGUCCGGAUUUAUUGGGCGUAAAGAGCUCGUAGGCGGCUUGUCGCGUCGAAUGUGAAAUCUCCGGGCUCAACCCGGAGGGGCCACCCGAUACUGCUGUGACUCGAGUCCGGUAGGGGAGUGGGGAAUUCCUGGUGUAGCGGUGAAAUGCGCAGAUAUCAGGAGGAACACCGGUGGCGAAGGCGGCCUGCUGGGCAGUUUAGCUGACACUGAGGCGCGACAGCGUGGGGAGCAAACAGG